GAUGAACGCUGGCGGCGUGCCUAAUACAUGCCAGUCGAGCGAACGGACGAGAAGCUUGCUUCUCUGAUGUUAGCGGCGGACGGGUGAGUAACACGUGGAUAACCUACCUAUAAGACUGGGAUAACUUCGGGAAACCGGAGCUAAUACCGGAUAAUAUUUUGAACCGCAUGGUUCAAAAGUGAAAGACGGUCUUGCUGUCACUUAUAGAUGGAUCCGCGCUGCAUUAGCUAGUUGGUAAGGUAGCGGCUUACCAAGGCAACGAUGCAUAGCCGACCUGAGAGGGUGAUCGGCCACACUGGAACUGAGACACGGUCCAGACUCCUACGGGAGGCAGCAGUAGGGAAUCUUCCGCAAUGGGCGAAAGCCUGACGGAGCAACGCCGCGUGAGUGAUGGAGGUCUUCGGAUCGUAAAACUCUGUUAUUAGGGAAGAACAUAUGUGUAAGUAACUGUGCACAUCUUGACGGUACCUAAUCAGAAAGCCACGGCUAACUACGUG
rnacentral:rRNA from 1 species